rnacentral:rRNA from 1 species
ACCUGGUUGAUUCCUGCC